rnacentral:rRNA from 1 species
UGCAGUCGAGGGGUAUGGUUCUUCGGAGCAGAGACCGGCGCACGGGUGCGUAACGCGUAUGCAUCUACCUUUUACAGAGGGAUAGCCCAGAGAAAUUUGGAUUAAUACCUCAUAGUAUAUCUUGACCGCAUGGUCAAGUUAUUAAAGUCACAACGGUAAAAGAUGAGCAUGCGUCCCAUUAGCUAGUUGGUAAGGUAACGGCUUACCAAGGCUACGAUGGGUAGGGGUCCUGAGAGGGAGAUCCCCCACACUGGUACUGAGACACGGACCAGACUCAUACGGGAGGCAGCAGUGAGGAAUAUUGGACAAUGGGCGCAAGCCUGAUCCAGCCAUGCCGCGUGCAGGAUGACGGUCCUAUGGAUUGUAAACUGCUUUUAUACGAGAAGAAACACUGAUUCGUGAAUCAGCUUGACGGUAUCGUAAGAAUAAGGAUCGGCUAACUCCGUGCCAGCAGCCGCGGUAAUACGGAGGAUCCAAGCGUUAUCCGGAAUCAUUGGGUUUAAAGGGUCCGUAGGCGGUUUGGUAAGUCAGUGGUGAAAGCCCAUCGCUCAACGGUGGAACGCCCAUUGAUACUGCCAGACUUGAAUUAUUAGGAAGUAACUAGAAUAUGUAGUGUAGCGGAGAAAUGCUUAGAGAUUACAUGGAAUACCAAUUGCGAAGGCGGUUACUACUAAUGGAUUGACGCUCAUGGACGAAAGCGUGGNUAGCUAACAGGAUUACAUACCCUGGUAGUNACGCCGUAAACGAUGGAUACAAGCUGUUGGAAGCAAUUUCAGUGGCUAAGCAAAAGUGAUAAGUAUCCACCUGGG